CAACAUGGGCUUCCCACUGAAAGCUUUAGGGCUACAGCACUGCCAAUCCCAAGCUCUGUGGCUCUGAGAGUGCAGUCAAUCUUCACUUCUUAAAGAUGGCUAUGAGGACAGACUCCCCCGUCCUAGGUUAAGCCUGGGGUCUGCUCUGGGAGCUCUGGAUAGACCAGUGACAGGAGGAUUACUACUGGAUUCCUGACCUCAAGGAAUUGUUCCAUCUCACAAAGGCACGGGCUACCUCUGAGAGAGCACCUAAAUACACGACCAGCCCAGAAUGAUAAGCUGCAGCUGAGACAGGUGCAUUUGGGUGCUGCAGAUGCCAAUGGAGACAGCAUUCCAUCAUGAGUUCACACAGGAGGAAGGAGAAAGGAGACCCCACUAUUCAACAUGGUGUCUGUUGGGGGAAGAACAGGGAAGAUGCUACAUCUUAGCAGUUGGCCUCCGACUCCAUUUGCAAUAGGGCCCAGGCUGGUAGAAAUUCAACAGGGUUCUGAAUGAGAGCAGUAAACUGCUCUAGCACAUCGGAAGCCCCUCACAUGCACAGUGAGCACUCAGCGCAUCGCUGCCAGCACCUGACUACAGAGCACAUUCAGGAGCACUGGGCACUUGGCCAGUGCUGAUGUGCUGCACACAGAGAUGGGAGUAAGUAUGGCGGGUAAGGGUCUGGUGUGAUGCGAGAGGACACCAGGAUGAGAACUGCUCAGUGUUUCCAUUUUCCCUCGUCUACAAACAAUUCUGAUACUUGGGACUUCAAAGGAAAUGAAGAAACCUAGGAAAAUAUUUCUUCCAUGUCAAUUUUAAAUCCCACCAACCUUCUCUCUCUAUAAUUACAGCUGUCAGUGUUGGCAUCAAGGGAAAAUGGUGUCCUUGGCUUUAAAAUGUGGCCAUUAGGGACUCAGUUAAAAAUAAAUUCUCUUCCUGAGAUGGAGGACCAGAAAAUGUGCUUUUGCUCCAACCUGAUAAAAAUGUCACCGUGUGACACCUUUCUUGAAAAGCCUAGGAUAGAUACCAUGGAGGACUUCUUCAGAUGUCCCCUUUUCAGUGGACCAGGUCCACAGGGCAAUCCUGUCAGGGUGAGCACAGCCGAGCGUGGCAGGGCGUCUACUGAGGAUCUCAGGCAGAAGCACUGUGGCCAGUGCUGCCGCUGUUUUAAGCAGAGAGACAGGGUCAGAAUCACAGUGAAGGCGUGACAUCUGCCUGGCAAGCUCACCAGUCUACAAACAACCCCGGCAUUAGGUAUGUAUAAAGUCCUGUACAAACAUUUCCCAAACUCUUCCAUUUUGCAAUUGAGGGAUCAGCAGUGUGCAGUGCAGACACCCCACCCAUCUUUGGGGUAUCCAGUCUGAGAGCCAAGUCAUACACCCCAGGGGACUCACUGCUGCUCUUUCUAAACAAGAAGUUUUUGAGACAGAUCAGAGGGACCCAUUUCACCCUGAGGCAUAGGGACAGGAAUUAAGCAGGCUGGGCAAUGCCAGAUGCUAUACGUGCAGUUAAAUAUCUUUGGCAAGGAAAGUCACAACACGAUGGAAAUGCCUUCAUGAGACUCGGGAGAUUAAGAGAAUUUUGAGUUUAGUGUUUUAACUUUUACUAAGGCUUUCUUGUAAACACUCUUAAUUUUUUUUUUUUUUCUGUGAAUAAUCCAAACCCUCAGAAUGAACCAUCUUAACAGGCUCUUCUGUUACCAUGGCAGCCUUGGAUGGCGAGCUGCCAGCUGGUCAAGUGCCCCUGUGGCAGCCUGGAUGUUUGAGAAAUCUCUCCAUCUGAGGACACCCCAGCAUCUACAGAGGGCUGUUACAGCCACAGUGGAAGGCACACUCCCAUUAUGACCAUUAGCCUUUACGAUCAUGACUGUUUGCCCCCUGUUAUUCUCAUGUAUGCCAGAGGGGGCGCACUUCCCCGGUGGCCCAGAAAGUGGCCUUGGUCAUACCUACUCCUUGGCUACAUAACCAGGCUAUUCAGUUCACAGUCCUUGUCCUGAGAGGCAGCCUCUUGCCCUGAAAUACUAAGCCCCUUAAACAGCUUCUCCCAAAUGGUCUUUCCUUGUACUGGCAGGUAACAGGGACAUUAGGGCCACGAAGUAACAGGACAACAGCCUGUGACCACGUAUGAUGCUAAUCCUCUGUCAGCCUGCCUGGAUUUGGAGUCACGCAGGAGACAUAGGCCUGGGUGAGUGUGUGAGGGCAUUUCCAAGGAGAAAUCCUGCUGCAAAGAAGAGCCGGACUGAGUGCAGGCAACGUCAUCCUACGGGUAGACACUCUACACAGAAUACAAAGGAGAAGAGGAAGAGGAGAGCUGAGGGCCAGCCUCUGUCUCUGCUUGCUGACUGUGGAUACGAUGUGACUGGCUGACCCGCACUCCUGCCAUGAUGGACCUCAUCCUGGGACUAUGACCAAACUCAGCAACCCUUCCUUUCCCUUAGGUUCCUCUGUGGGCGUUCCGUCACAGUCAUAAUAAAAGUAACUAAUACCCUGCAG
rnacentral:lncRNA from 1 species